GCGUCUUUAGCUCAGCUGGGAGAGCAGCUGGUUUACACCCAGCAGGUCGGGGGUUCGAGCCCCUCAGGACGCACAA
rnacentral:tRNA from 1 species